CGUGGAUAAUCUACCUCUAAGUGGGGGGAUAACUUCGCGAAAGCGGGGCUAAUACCUCAUAAUAUUAUCUUCUCCUUGGGGAAGAUAGUCAAAGGUGGCCUCUGUUUCAAGCUAUCGCUAAGAGACGAGUCCGCGUCCCAUUAGUUUGUUGGUAAGGUAAUGGCUUACCAAGACUACGAUGGGUAGCUGGUCUGAGAGGAUGGCCAGUCACACUGGAACUGAGACACGGUCCAG
rnacentral:rRNA from 1 species